UACGGAGGGAGCUAGCGUUGUUCGGAAUUACUGGGCGUAAAGCGUGCGUAGACGGUUGCGUAAGUCAGAUGUGAAAGCCCCGGGCUCAACCUGGGAAUUGCAUUUGAGACUGCGUAGCUAGGGUGCGGAAGAGGGAAGCGGAAUUUCCGGUGUAGCGGUGAAAUGCGUAGAUAUCGGAAGGAACACCAGUGGCGAAAGCGGCUUCCUGGUCCAGCACCGACGUCAGGCACGAAAGCGUGGGGAGCAAACAGGAUUAGAU
rnacentral:rRNA from 1 species